rnacentral:lncRNA from 1 species
GGCCAAUUCAUUCAGAUUUUAGAACUGUUUGUUGGAGGUUAACCUUUUUUUUUGGGAUCUGGUAUAAAUUUGGUAAGGAAUUUUAUUUGUUAAAAUACAAUGGUGACAAACAGAGCUUUACUACAAAAUUUAAACCUGUCUCCUUAAACUAAAACCAAGGGAAAACAGGAUCUCUUUAUUUUGUCUUGCAUGUGAUAUAUACUUGAAUUCAACGUCCGUUGUUCA